rnacentral:tRNA from 1 species
GCCUCCGUAGCUCAGGGGAUAGAGCAGGACCCUUCUAAUGUCUUGGUCGCAGGUUCGAAUCCUGCCGGGGGCA